GGGUGAGUAACACGUGGGCAAUCUGCCCUGCACUCUGGGACAAGCCCUGGAAACGGGGUCUAAUACCGGAUAUGAGCCUCCAUCGCAUGGUGGGGGCUGUAAAGCUCCGGCGGUGCAGGAUGAGCCCGCGGCCUAUCAGCUUGUUGGUGAGGUAACGGCUCACCAAGGCGACGACGGGUAGCCGGCCUGAGAGGGCGACCGGCCACACUGGGACUGAGACACGGCCCAGACUCCUACGGGAGGCAGCAGUGGGGAAUAUUGCACAAUGGGCGAAAGCCUGAUGCAGCGACGCCGCGUGAGGGAUGACGGCCUUCGGGUUGUAAACCUCUUUCAGCAGGGAAGAAGCGCAAGUGACGGUACCUGCAGAAGAAGCGCCGGCUAACUACGUGCCAGCAGCCGCGGUAAUACGUAGGGCGCAAGCGUUGUCCGGAAUUAUUGGGCGUAAAGAGCUCGUAGGCGGCUUGUCGCGUCGGUUGUGAAAGCCCGGGGCUUAACCCCGGGUCUGCAGUCGAUACGGGCAGGCUAGAGUUCGGUAGGGGAGAUCGGAAUUCCUGGUGUAGCGGUGAAAUGCGCAGAUAUCAGGAGGAACACCGGUGGCGAAGGCGGAUCUCUGGGCCGAUACUGACGCUGAGGAGCGAAAGCGUGGGGAGCGAACAGGAUUAGAUACCCUGGUAGUCCACGCCGUAAACGGUGGGCACUAGGUGUGGGCAACAUUCCACGUUGUCCGUGCCGCAGCUAACGCAUUAAGUGCCCCGCCUGGGGAGUACGGCCGCAAGGCUAAAACUC
rnacentral:rRNA from 1 species